rnacentral:tRNA from 1 species
UCCUGGUUAGCUCAGUUGGUAGAGCACUUCACUGGUAACGGAGAGAUCUGAGGUUCAAUACCAGACCAGGCA